GGCCUUAUGGUCUAGUAGUAUGAUUCCUCGUUUGGGCUUAUGUCGAAUCGAGGAGGUCCUGGGUUCAACUCCCAGUGAGGCCC
rnacentral:tRNA from 1 species